GCUUUACUUAAAUCUACUGUGCACCCAGUGGAGCUGUCAUCCAGACAGAGGAGAAGACGGAACAGGCGACAGAAGGGACAGAAAGCUACCCCCGAUGGUAGACAACACGUCUCGGAACCAUAUGCUGCAGCUGCAGCUGGUUCAAGUCAAGCCCAUUCUGAGAGCCGGACCAAAUAUAUGAUCGGAGGU